GGUGACGUUGUGAGAGUUMUUAAACCUUAUCAUUUAGAGGAAGGAGAAGUCGUAACAAGGUUUCCGUAGGUGAACCUGCGGAAGGAUCAUUG
rnacentral:rRNA from 1 species